UACGAAGGGGGCUAGCGUUGCUCGGAAUCACUGGGCGUAAAGCGCACGUAGGCGGACUCUUAAGUCGGGCGUGAAAACUCAGGGCUCAACCCUGAGACGCCGCCCGAUACUGCUGUGACUGGAGUCCGGUAGAGGAGCGUGGAAUUCCUAGUGUAGCGGUGAAAUGCGCAGAUAUUAGGAGGAACACCAACGGCGAAGGCAGCGCUCUGGGCCGGUACUGACGCUGAGGAGCGAAAGCGUGGGGAGCAAA
rnacentral:rRNA from 1 species